rnacentral:rRNA from 1 species
UCGCCUGUUUAUCAAAAACAUUGCCACUGGAUUUUAAACAUCAGUGGUAAUUCCUGCCCAGUGAAUUUAAUUCAACGGCCGCGGUACCCUGACCGUGCAAAGGUAGCAUAAUCACUUGCCCAUUAAUUGUGGGCUAGAAUGAAUGGAAAAACGAAGUAAUAGCUGUCUCUAGUAGUAAACUAAAAACUAAUAUUCCAGUGAAGAAGCUGAAAUAAAAUCACAGGACAAGAAGACCCUAUAGAGCUUUAUUUUUAAUAUACAAACAAAAGUAUAGAAAAAUUUAGUUGGGGCGACUAAGGAAAAAUCAUCCUUUAAUAUAAAGACAUACAAGUCAAAUCAAAGAUCCUAUAACAUAGAUCAAAGAAAUUAGUUACCUUAGGGAUAACAGGCUAAUCCUCCUGGAAAGUCCAAAUUUAUAGGAGGGUUUGGCACCUCGAUGUUGGCUUAGGAUACCUAUAAGAUGCAGCAGUCUUAAUAAGUAGGUUUGUUCAACCUAUAAUAUCCUACGUGAUCUGAGUUCAGACCGGA